ensembl:lncRNA
GAGAUGUAGAACUCUCAGCUCCUUCUCCAGCACCAUGUCUGCCUGCACGCUGCCCUGUUUCUCACCAUAAUGAUAAUGGACUAACCCUCUGAAGCGGUAGGAAUUGAACAACCUGAGUGAUUGGAAGCAUUCCUGUGGCAAAAGAGAAAGCCAAGACUGUGUACCUGGAAACGAGAAGGGGUGCAAGGCAGCCAGCUCAGUCUCUGAAUCUUCGAAGAUCCAGCAUGGAGAGACGAGGCUUGUUUGCCCACCAAGUAUACUGCUCCUCAUUAAACUGAGAAGACGUCCACCAUCGUGCUAUGCUAGCAUUGGGGGUAUCUGAACUCACAAUCCAUCAUGAAGUCCCUUGUGCCCAGUGGCUGCUGUGUCACCUGGCUAAAUUGAAGUAACCAGGGUGAUAGAAAGAAGUCACCAAAUUCCCUAGCGUUGUUUGGAUCACAUCUCGUAUAGUCUGUGUCUUUUAAAAAGAAGUUCUGUGAUUUGUGGAUCUGCUCAAAUGAUGGUUUCCUCACACCCCGAGGUAUAACAAGUGAUCCAAUCUAAUACAUUGUUCCGCUCUGAGAUACAAGCUCAGAAAAGGUUAUGUCCGUAUUAGUUCUUCAAAUGUGCCUGCAGUCUUUCACCAGUGAGUAGGGUGGGGGUUCCCUCUCCCUGCUAUGUUCUAGUCUCCAGGUUCCCAAGGACUGACCACAGCUUGAGAACCCUCCCCUGGCUGACCAGAUCCAACUACCAGAUCCAUCACCAGCAAAGUCCAUGCCUGAACCAGUGAGACACGAGUGGAACAGAUAGAGUUGAAAGAAGAAAUCAAGAGAACUAUGCUGUCAGGUUAAAGAUACAGACUCCUGAGAGCAAUUUUCUGUUCUCUUCAACCUCACUCCACCCAUGCCUUUGGACAUUGACAAGAGUGAACUAUAAGAUACUCCUGAAGGCUAUCAGCAUGUCUCCCCCAACUCAGCUCCUGGACUAGCUAACACCCAGCACCUAAUGCAUUGUGAAUAAAUGGGAGCUGAAUCUCUUCACUGCGAAGAAGAACAAAAAAAUGGUGCCAACUGUAUUGACCACGUGCUUCUCCACUGCAGGGAGGUAUUCACCAGAAGUCAAAUUGAUGGAGUCUCCUGAUCUUGCACUUCCAGCUUCCAAAACUGUGAACAAAAUGAACCUGUUUUCUUUAUGAAGUUCCACACACCAGGUAUCCUGUCACAGCAACAUGGGGUCAACAUAGGGUUUUCAAGAGUUCAAUGCUUAAGUCCAAAAGGAAGAUGCUAUGUUAGAGUCUUAAAACACUUUCUAGCCCUAAAUGUCUUUGGGAGAAAGAAAGGGGAGCUCAUGGCUCUCUUGUCUCUGCCCCUUCAGGCCCUCUCUCUUCAGCAUGCUUGCAUGGGGGGCUCUCAGCAUGGAGUAAAGAAACUCUGUUGUGCAGAUGGCGGCAGUUAAUGCAGAGAUUCAAAGUGACAGAUGAGCUCUUGACCUUAAACAGGACAUCCAUAUCACCCUAUCCCUGCUCAGGCCCAGAGAACAUCACACACACACAAAAAAAAAAAAAAAUGGGAAGAAAGAAUUUACGGUUCAGAGAACGAUAGGGAGUGACAGGAAUCACUGCUGUCUAGGUGUAGUAGAUAUGACGUUAACAUCGCGGCUGUGAGCAUACAGCAGCUAUGGAUACUUGCACAGUAUCCUCCUGGGCCCCAUCUUUCAAUCCUGGAUAGAGAAGGUGCCUAUUAUGUGCCAUCCUUUCCAGGGAGGCUAAUUAAUGACUGUUAAUGGCUGCUGGAAGAAUAGGUAUCAUUCUCUCUAUUGGUGUAGCCACGGGGGAGGGGAAGGGGGGAGACUAGGUUGGGAGAAGAGGUGACAAGGGAAGAAAGUGGGAUGUGCAGUGGGGGUGUGAAUAUAAUCACAACACGUUGAAUACUUUGUGUGAAACUGUCCAAAAUACAGGAGGAAGAAUAAAACAACUAACUGGGAUAAUAAAUAAAAUAAAAC